GACGAACGCUGGCGGCGUGCUUAACACAUGCAAGUCGAACGGAAAGGCCCUGCUUUUGUGGGGUGCUCGAGUGGCGAACGGGUGAGUAACACGUGAGUAACCUGCCCUUGACUUUGGGAUAACUUCAGGAAACUGGGGCUAAUACCGGAUAGGAGCUCAUGCUGCAUGGUGGGGGUUGGAAAGUUUCGGCGGUUGGGGAUGGACUCGCGGCUUAUCAGCUUGUUGGUGGGGGAGUGGCUUACCAAGGCUUUGACGGGUAGCCGGCCUGAGAGGGUGACCGGCCACAAUGAUACUGAGAUACGGCCCAGACUCCUACGGGAGGCAGCAGUGGGGAAUAUUGCACAAUGGGCGGAAGCCUGAUGCAGCAGCGCGGCGUGCGGGAUGACGGCCUUCGGGGUGUAAACCGCUGUCGCCUGUGACGAAGCGUGAGUGACGGUAAUGGGUAAAGAAGCACCGGCUAACUACGUG
rnacentral:rRNA from 1 species